rnacentral:rRNA from 1 species
CCUACGGGAGGCAGCAGUGAGGAAUAUUGGUCAAUGGGCGCGAGCCUGAACCAGCCAAGUAGCGUGAAGGAUGACUGCCCUACGGGUUGUAAACUUCUUUUAUAAAGGAAUAAAGUGAGGCACGUGUGCCUUGGUGGAUGUACGGGAGGAAUAAGGAUCGGCUAACUCCGUGCCAGCAGCCGCGGUAAUACGGAGGAGCCGAGCGUUAUCCGGAUUGAUUGGGUUUAAAGGGAGCGUAGAUGGGUUGUUAAGUCAGUGGUGAAAGUUUGCGGCUCAACCGUAAAAUUGCAAUUGAUACUGGCAGUCUUGCGUACAGUUGCGGUAGGCGGAAUUCGUGUUGUAGCGG